GACGGAGGGUGCUAGCGUUGUUCGGAAUCACUGGGCGUAAAGGGCGCGUAGGCGGCGCGGCAAGUCGGAUGUGAAAGCCCGGGGCUCAACCUCGGAGGUGCAUCCGAGACUGGCGUGCUGGAGGCCGGAAGAGGAGGGUGGAAUACCCAGUGUAGAGGUGAAAUUCGUAGAUAUUGGGUGGAACACCGGUGGCGAAAGCGGCUCUCUGGUCCGGUUCUGACGCUGAGGCGCGAAAGCGUGGGGAGCAAACAGG
rnacentral:rRNA from 1 species